GAUCAAGAAAGAUGAGGAAUACGAGGCAAGGAUCUGUUGCACCAAACGAGGGCGAAAGCCUCACCCUGCAACAGAUUAUGGAAACGAUGCAGGCCCUCCAAGAAGAAGUGCUUACGUUAAGAGCGGAUCAAGAACGCAUCCAGAUUGAUCUGGUUGCGUCGUUGUUGAGAAACGAAGAAUUGCAGAGAGCCAACGAGGAGUUGCGCAAGGACUUGCGCAAUCAGGCAGGGGAAAGUGAGGUGGAAGAUCAAGAACUUGCGACGCCACCUAGGGAAUUCUUGAUUCCAUUCUCGCAAGCAAUCAUGGAUGCCGUGAUACCAACCACGUUUUUG
rnacentral:lncRNA from 1 species